UACGAAGGGGGGCUAGCGUUGUUCGGAAUUACUGGGCGUAAAGCGCGCGCAGGUGGUCUUUCAAGUCAGUGGUGAAAGCCCGGAGCUCAACUCCGGAAAUGCCAUUGAAACUGUAAGACUUGAGGAUGAGAGAGGUGAGUGGAAUUCCCAGUGUAGAGGUGAAAUUCGUAGAUAUUGGGAAGAACACCGGUGGCGAAGGCGGCUCACUGGCUCAUAUCUGACGCCCAGGCGCGACAGCGUGGGGAUCGAAACAAGG
rnacentral:rRNA from 1 species